rnacentral:rRNA from 1 species
UUGGUCGGUUAAGUCCCGCAACGAGCGCAACCCUUGUCAUUAGUUGCCAUCAUUUGGUUGGGCACUCUAAUGAGACUGCCGGUGACAAACCGGAGGAAGGUGGGGAUGACGUCAAGUCCUCAUGGCCCUUAUGGGUAGGGCUUCACACGUCAUACAAUGGUCGGUACAGAGGGUUGCCAACCCGCGAGGGGGAGCUAAUCCCACAAAGCCGAUCGUAGUCCGGAUCGCAGUCUGCAACUCGACUGCGUGAAGUCGGAAUCGCUAGUAAUCGUGGAUCAGCAUGUCACGGUGAAUACGUUCCCGGGUCUU